rnacentral:rRNA from 1 species
UGAACGCUGGCGGCGUGCUUAACACAUGCAAGUCGAACGAAGCACAUUGAAACAAUCCCUCGGGUGCGUUUCUUUGUGACUUAGUGGCGGACGGGUGAGUAACGCGUGGGUAACCUGCCUCAUGCAGGGGGACAACAUUCCGAAAGGAGUGCUAAUACCGAAUGUGACGAUUUUACCGCAUGGUUUAAUCGUGAAAGAUGGCCUCUACAUGUAAGCUAUCGCCAAAGGAUGGGCCUGCGUCUGAUUAGCUAGUUGGUGGGGUAACGGCUCACCAAGGCGACGAUCAGUAGCCGACCUGAGAGGGUGAUCGGCCACAUUGGGACUGAGACACGGCCCAAACUCCUACGGGAGGCAGCAGUGGGGAAUAUUGCACAAUGGGCGAAAGCCUGAUGCAGCAACGCCGCGUGAAGGAAGAAGGUCUUCGGAUCGUAAACUUCUGUCCUUAGGGAAGAUAAUGACGGUACCUUUGGAGGAAGCCCCGGCUAACUACGUG